UCCGGCGCGCUCACCGGCGUGAUACCGGGCCAAUGCCGGACCGGAGGAUAGCCAUUCCUUAACGAACAUUCUGUAACAGUGAAUUCUGGGAUCUGGCGCCAAGAAAGCUGUCGGCUGCUACCUAGAGCUACGACAUACAUGUCAUUGACAAUGUAUGCCGUCGUAGUUUUUGUGGAGACGGAUGAAGUAGAGCUUGUUGCUUCCAACUGGUUACAGUCUCAGACAAAAACUUUUUGGCCACCGUAUCGCAAUAUGUCUAACGUAACUAAAGCUGUAAAAGACAGAGUAGCAGCUGACAAAACUUGGCCAAGUUACAGCAUUCGCAUCCUGUCUGCUUGUGAUAGCUAUGAGGAUGGCAGAAGAAAGCUUCGAAUGGCCGAGGAAACCUCAGACAUACAAACAGAUGAUGAAGUUGGAAUGGGGAAGGGUGCAAGAAGGUACAUAGAGAGAACAGCAUUAAAACAACACUAUUACAACAAUAAGUCUCCUGUAAAGAAUAAAGAGAAACAAAUCAAAACUUAAAACACUAUCGCCCACAGCCAUGGAGUAGUGGCUAGCGCUCUUGGCUGCUGAAGUGCUGGUCAAGACAUCCCGGGAUCGAUUUCCCAUAGUGUCAGGGAAUGUUUCUCUCAUUCCAGGCCGUUUGGCUGAUUGGU